rnacentral:miRNA from 1 species
UGGUGCUCUCGCGGCCG